rnacentral:piRNA from 1 species
CAUGACCAGGCCACGUAUCCAGUGUUCGU